GGGGGGGGGGGGGGGGGGCGGUGCUGGUAGAAUGACCCAAGUCACUUGCAUUCUAUGGCAACCCUCACCUUCUAUCCUGACCCUCUCCCUCUGAGAUAUUGUCUGGGGUUUCAAAGAGGAAAUUAAUUUUGAGCUGAGGUAUGUUAAUAAUUUCUUCUGCAAAGCUCUUAUUGCUGUAUGCAAUUCUCUGUGUGGGAAUUCUCUGUUCCUAGGGAUAAGUGAUAAAAAGUUCAAAAGAGCAAGCAUCAGAGUAUCUUUUGAGAUGUUUCUACAGGGAGUAAGAAACCAAGAGAUCUUGUCCUUAUCAAGGCUGUAUAGACAAGUAAAACUUCAGAGGCAGGAGGCCUGGGUUUGGAAUGCCAGCAUUGCCACUUACUGGCUUAAGAUUAUCAGCCUAUUUAAUUUCUCGGAGGUCCUUAGCUGUCUAAACACACUGACAAAAUUGACCUCUGAGGUGUUCCUGACCAUCAAGUGAGGCAAAACUCAGCUUGUUGCCUGGCACACAGCAGGUGCCUGCCAUUGUCACCUCCCCAGCGUCCCUCCUAAAGUGGCACAUUUCCGCCCACUCAGACCAGGACUUAAAAAGCCAAUUUGCUCCAAGGCUGGGAGUUGGACUAAGAAAAGCAGGUAAAACCCAAGUCCCCUUUAACAUUUGGGAGCUGUCAACUACAAGCCCCUGAUGUCACAGGCCUGACAUUACAGCCGGUUGCCUAGCAGUGGAAAAAAACUGUCUGGCAAGUAGGAGAAUUUAUAGAUAUUUCUCAAAACUCUCUGGGACCUGAGUUGGGGAACGGGGAGGAGGGGAUCGUGGUAUGUAGGUUAUCAAAAGCUCAAAGAAAUCCAGGUCCUGUCUGAAUCCCUGCUCAGAGAUGGAAGGAGGCAAUGAAAAGGCUGAAGAAAUUUUUCUCAAGGUUGUUUACCAGUUGGGACAGUGGGCAGGCACGUACUCUGUUUCUCUGUCUGCUCAGGCUGCCCUCGGGGCCAGCAGGAAAAUCACUCUCCCCUCACUUGUUUUUACCCAAAGCCUCCAAAGGAAAGAUUUGAGAGAUCUUGUUUUUUCACAGACUUGGAUAGUGUCUCCUUCUGUAAUCCAGAAAGCAGAUGUUUUUGGACGGGGCUUGGAAGCAAGAUGCUGAAGACCAGAGCCUGUGAUGGAAAAGGUGCAUUCCUGCCCAGCCGCUCAGGACACUGCCCCUUUGUGACCGACUCACCUCUCUUGGUCCUGUAUCUAUGACCUUCCAUCACUGUUUGGAGCCAUUGCAAGUGUGAGCUUGGCCACACCUGCGACCUACACCAUAGCUCACGGCAAUGCUGGAUCCUUAACCCACUGAGCGAGGCCAGGGAUCGAACCCACAACCUCAUGAUUCCUAGUUGGAUUUGUUUGCGCUGUGCCAGGAUGGGAACCCCUUGAGGACAUAUAUUAAAUAUCAGAGAGAAGAGCACCAAAACUUAUAAGGAGGCAGAGGACUAAUGAUCAGGAAGAGGGAUGAAAACCGUCAUUUGCAAGUCUGCCUCUCUCACUGUAUUACACUAUAUUAUUACCACCAUCUUUUAAUCCCCAACCACUUCCUCCUCUCUUCUUCCUCUGCCAUCUACUGGGAACAACCCUACGGCUUGAGUCAAAUCACUCCAUCACCUAUAUACCUUUUUAUACCCACUUUGAAGUUGCCAAAGAACUCAAAUUCUUGUCCAAGGAUCAUCAAAGUUGGUCCUUUUUGGGGGUAAGACAGCUACACCAGAAAUGCCUGUGUUGGUGAAGAUUCCAUAUCCAGUUAGUAUUCAUCGGAUAAGAGAUGUUAAAUAUUUGAAAAUCAACCAUCACUCAAAGGCAGCACUGAAGCUCUGUUCUCAAGGCCAAAUGCCCCCAGAGGCGCUGAAAAGAAUGGCACAUGGGACAUUUCAGGAAACGUCCAUGUUUCUGCAGGUUGAAGUGGUUGGCCACCCUGUUCAGAAUGUUGUGUGACUCAGGCAAGUCCUCACAUCAGCUCUGUGACCCUUUCUUGGGGUAGGGGUGUGUGUAAGCAGUAGCAGUAAAAGAAGGAGGAAUCGUAGCAGUUGAUGCAUGGGGUGGGGUGGGGGGGUGUGCACAGGAAAGAGCCACCAAGGGCUUUUCAUGGCAGAAUAGCUUGGAAAAGGCCAAUUUUGUGUGGAACUGAAAACAACUACAGGAGAUCUAUAGCUUCAGGACCUGCCUUAAGCAGACUUAUCCAUGCCACUGGCUCUUUGUGUCUUACCAGGGAUCAGGUUGCACAAUACAUCAUUGGUUCAGUGAAUCCCACAAAACUAGAGAAUCAGUAAGUCACUCACACCAACAAUAUUUACUCACUGUAACUUCUUGGGUUCAUGCUUCUGCAUCUAUUUUCAAAAGUGGCGUGGGCAGGGCAGAGGGGGUGGGACAGGGUGUCUGAGAAAUUCAACCAAGGUGGAGGGAGAGGAGACUGGCAGGAGCUGUUGAAGUCUCACUACAAUCACAGUGUGUAGACAAUGACUGGUGUAGACAUGACCCGCCAGGCUUAUACCGGGUCAGUGAGAAGUGAGUCUGCGUUGGUAGGACAUUUGUUUUCAAGGCUUUGUAAAUAAAUGUACCGUGUAGGAAAAAUGGAGAAUUAAUCUCUACUUUAAGGAUAAAUCAAGAGUUCCCAUUGUGGCUCAGCAGGUUAAGGACCCAACUAGUAUCCAUGAGGAUGUGGGUUCAAUCCUUAGCCUUGCUCAGUGGAUUAAGGAUCCGGCGUUGUUGCUUGGAUCCAGCAUUGCCAUGGCUGUAGUGUCGGCUAGCAGCUGCAUCUCUUAUUUGACUCCUAGCCCAGGAAAUUCCAUAUGCUGACGGUGCCAGCCCUAAAAGAUAAAAGGAAAAAGAAAAAAAAUUAAUAAUAUGGAAGCUCACAUGUGGGGCAAUAAGUCAAGGAUCUGGCGUUGCUGCAGCUGUGGCGCAGGUUCCAGCUGUGGUGCGGGUUCAAUCCCUGGCCCAGAAACUUGCACAUGCCAUAGGUAAGGACAAAAAUCAAUCAAUCCAUCAAUAAUAAAUUCAUAGUGAGUCUUCAAUCAUAUUAUGAAAGACAAGGGAAUGACAUAAUCAAAACAAAGACAUUUGACUUUUGUUUCAAAAACGGAUAUUCACUGAGUAGCACAAAAUACUGAUUAAGAUGAACACACAAUGACUAGGUGACUUUAAUAUUCUGCUGCUUAUUUUAUAGAGUUCUAUUAAUGGGUACUUUUUUUCUUUCCAGGAUAAAAACAUCAAUUCCCAGCCAAGAUCCUGAGUUGUUUUGACAGUUCUCUGAUCAUUGCCAGAACUGUAAAGGAAUAUUCUGUUUUAAAUCCCCUGAAAAAAAAAAAAAAAAAAAGGUACAGGGACUUAUAAUCCAAUAUUUGAUUAUGUUCACAGGGGGUUGCAAGUUUAGGUAGAGUGGUGAAAUCCAAACAAACAAUUUAAUGUUGCAACCCACUUUAAUAAAAUUAGUUCCAGGACACAGGAGUCACUCAGUUGGGAGAGAAUCUUCUAGGAGAGAGGUUCUAAUUAAAGGAAGAGGGUUUCUCAUCAAGACAGGACCUUAGGACUUUGACUCUGAAGCAUAGCCUUUUUUCCCAGAAGGAUAUAAGCUUUACGCCAUUCCUUGCCCCUCUCGUCCCUGCUUUAAAAAAGAGAACAAGAGGGAGCUAGAGCCAGAGAAAAAGAAAGGGAGGGAGGGAGAGAAUUUUAAGGAAACUAUGACGCAUACGGGAUACAAAGAAAAAACAUCUGCUGGAUAAUUAGCAAAUUCCUUCACAAAGAGAACAUUUAAAAGUUUAAAGUUUUCAACACCAACUAGACCACAUUGUUUCCAAAAUAUUGUUUACUAUGAUUGUCUACUCUAAAUGCAGUCAAUUCAGGAACUUCUUUAAAGAGGAAAGUUGGGGAGGGAGUGAAAGAAGUGCCCUCUUCUGCAACCACCAUUUUAAAUCUCCAUCUGUUAAGUCCUUUUGGUAUAUUGGGUCACCCAAGAGGGAAAAGGAGCUUUAAAUAUCAUUUCCAGGCCUGCUCAGUAUUCAAAUUUACCCUUGAUUUGAACCAAAUUAAUUUGAUAUCCAAAUGCACUACUUUUUUUUUUUUUUUGUCUUUGUUUUUUUUUGCUAUUUCUUUGGGCCGCUCCCACGGCAUAUGGAGGUUCCCAGGCUAGGGGUCGAAUUGGAGCUGUAGCCGCCAGCCUACGCCAGAGCCAUAGCAAUGCGGGAUCCGAGCCACGUCUGCGACCUACACCACAGCUCACGGCAACGCCGGAUCCUUAACCCACUGAGCAAGGGCAGGGAUCGAACCCGAAACCUCAUGGUUCCUAGUUGGAUUAGUUAACCACUGCGGCACGACGGGAACUCCCAAAUGCACUACGUUUUUUAAAUUAAAGUAUAGUUGAUUUACAAUGUUGUGCCAAUUUCGGCUAUACCGCAAAGUAACCCAGUCAUACAUAUACAUAUGUAUAAAUACACACAUUCUUUUUCUCAUAUCAUCCCUCAUCACAUUCUAUCCCAAAAGAGUGGACACGAGUCCCUGUGCAGGACCCCAUUGUCCAUCCAUUCUAAAUGUAAUAGUUUGCAUCAACUAAUCCCAAAUUCCCAGUCCGCCCCAUUCCCUCUCCUCUCUCCAUUCACAACCACAAGUCUGUUCUCUAUGUCUGUGAGUUUGUUUCCGUUCUAUAGAUAAGCUCAUUUGUGCCAUAUUUUGGAUUCCACAUGUAGCUGAUAUCAUAUGGUAUCUGUCUUCCUCUUUCUGACUUCACGUAGUAUGAGAAUCUCCAGUUGCAGCCUUGUUGCUGCAAAUGGCAUUAUUUUGUUCUUUUUUAUGGCUGAGUAGUAUUCCAUUGUGUAGUUGUACCACAUCUUUAUCCAUUCAUCUGUCAGCGGACAUUUAGGUUGUUACCAAGUCUUGGCUAUUGUGAAUAAUGCUGCUAUGAACACAGGGGUGCACGUAUUCUCCGAAUUGUAGUUUUAUCCAGAUAUAUGCCCAGGAGUGGGAUUGCUUGAUCAUAUGGUAGCUCUAUAUUUAGUUUUCUGAAGAACCCCCAAAUGCGUUACUUUUUAACAAACCAAGUGAACUAUAUACUUCCUUUCCUUCAGUUGCUGAAGCUAGUUAAGGGGCAAAUUGCAUUUUUAACAGAGCAAACAUGAAAGGGAGCUGGAAACUCUUGGUCCCCAGAUGAUGAAGGACUGGCAGCCAAUUAGCCCACAAGACUGGCUGACUUUCAAAAAGAAAAAUGGAGGUGACAGAGGUUUUCACAUUUAACCUUUUAAGAAUUCAAGCACACUUUAAAUACAAAAGGAUAAGGUAAGGAAAUCAAGCUUAAUUCUUAACUGAGCAAAGAGAUGAAAACAGAUCCAGAUUCCUGUAACCCAUCCCUCUAUGGGGCCAAAGCAAUAAAGGUUGAGCUCUCCAUCCCUAAGGCAACAAGAGAAGCAGAACUAGCUCAGACACAGCCUCUGGAAUGGCCAUGACUGUCCCCAUUCCUGUUCCUUGAUUGUUACUCUGUCCUUCCUCCCCUCCUCUUUCUGUCCCUCUCACUCCUUCCUUCUUUUCACGCUCCCCUCCGAUGCUGCGUUAGGUCUGCUGCAUCCUCCUGCUCCUGAAAUUCCACAUCCUCUUCUGCUCUGAGGUUGACACCAGGAGGUCUAAAUAGAAAACAAGCUUCUGGCAAGUAUCAAGGAAGAGGAGCAAAAGAUACCUGUUACUCCAAGCUAUAACCUUCCCCUCCAUGAGACAUCACGUGAUUUUAGUCAUUGAACACACAGUUUCCUGACAACCCUCAAAAUCCUAUGAUUUUUAAUAUAGGAAUGUGGAUACAGGUCCUUUGGUAAAUAAAAUAUGCACAACUCUUCAAUCCUGUUUAUGUGUGAUUAUCCUAACUGGUGGUUUAUUUGCUCAUUUAAAUGUCAUAGAAAAUUACUAACGCCUGCUCUGCUCUGCUGCCCUUCCCUAUUGUCUUGAUCCUUCCUAGUAAAUUUGUUACCUGGUGGGUAGACCUCGCAGACCUUUUCGGGCAAUGGCCCACUGACUUCAACUCCAGUGCACCUGUGUUGAUGGUGGGAGGAUCUAGCCUCCUUUCUGAGUAUGAUCCUGCUGAGAUAAUCAGUAGAAAUGACAAUUUUUGGAGUGAAAGCGUUCAUGCCCUCUGGGACGAUUUGAUGGCACCACCACAGAUAAAACCCCGACAUUGAUACUGCUCAAACAGGAACACUCAGAAAUGUUUCCAUCUCCUAAUAGCUCCUUGUUAUAUGCAGACAGAAAAUCGAUUGAGUCACUUCCAUUCCUCUGACACAAAUUUUUUUUUUUUUUUGCAGAUCUCAAGUUGUUGAGGUCCUGAUUGUGUAAUAAUCAGUAAAUUGUUACCUAUGGACCUGCUUUGUAUAUCGCAGGUACUCAUUGAACACUUGUAGAAUUGAAAGACCUCUCCCCCCUACUCCAGAUUGUACUAAAAUCUUAUAUCAAAGGUGAUGCAUACAGGGAGUUCCCAUUGUAGCUCAGGGGUAAUGAACCCAAAUGGUAUCCAUGACAAUGCAGCUUUGAUCCCUGGCAUCAUUCAAUGGGUUAAGGAUCUAGCAUUGCCGUGAGUUGUGGUAUAGGUCACAGACUCAGCUUGGAUCCAGCUAUAGUGGAGGCUGGCAGCUGCUGCUCCAACUUGACCCCUAGCCUGGGAACGUCCAUAUGCCACAGGUGUGGCCCUAAAAAGACAAAAAAAAAAAAAAAAAAAAGGCAUUUCAUACACACAUGAAACAAUUUCUGAGUGAUGUAAAUAAAUACUGUAAUUGUAUCUGUCAGGGUCCAACCAGGAAAACAAACCACUCCAGGUAUGUAAAAUAGAGGUGUGUAAAAUGCAAUUCCUUCCAUAGAUGACAGAAGCUGAGAAGCAGAACCCAGCAUGGUGGUACAACCCAGAGAUUGGCAAGAGCUGGUCUGAGACCCUGUCCGAGACUGGAGGAAGAGGCAGUCAGGUCCCUAUGCUACCUCAAUCCCAAGUCAAGGUCACAGGAGGCAAGGAGAAUCAUGGCAGCACGGUGGCUCUGCAGACAUGGGAGAGACCCAGUUCUCAUGGGGGAUGCUGCCCAUGGAAAAGAGGGAAGAGAAAAUACCUGUUUUCUCCCUUCCUUCCUCCCCCACAAUCUCACCACAGUGCCUCCCAUUAGCCACACCCUGCUGGAAGACCACCGAGGGAGAAGCCUGGCCUCAGGGUUGUAAACCUCCUGGUGACACAAAGCAGGGCAGAGGAGGGGAAAGGUUAGAAAUGGAUCUGAGAGCAGGUGGUUAAGCUCUCGUGCCAAAAUGGAGUGCCAGUUUAGUUAAUAUUAACACUGAGUGCAAAAUAAAUUCAGGAAAAAUAUUGUUCCUGACACAUUACAGCAUGAGUGCUCAACAUAGUUUGGGUGGUUUUUUUUUUUGUUUUUUGUUUUGUUUUGUUUUUUUGUUCUUUAGGGCUGCACAUGCAGCAUAUGGAAGUUCCCAGGCUAGGGGCCAAAUUAGAGCUAUAGAUGCUGGCCUACGCCACUGCCACAGCAGUGCCAGAUCCGAGCCAUGUCUGUGACCUACACUACAGCUCAUGGCAACACAGGAUCCUUAACCCACUGAGCGAGGCCAGGGAUCGAACCUGCUUCCUCAUGGAUACUAGUCAGAUUUGUUUCCACUGAGCCAUGACGGGAACUCCUCAAUAUAGUUUUACGUAUUACACACAUUCACCAGGAUGACUUAAAGAAGUCACCAGGAAGCUUGCCCACAAAACUGGGACUAGGGAUAUUUGAAAUAACAUCCAGUAAUUUCAGAGUUAUUUCUACUCCAGUGUUGUCUAAAUAAUCAAAAAGCAUCACUCUGGGAGUUCUCACUGUGGCACAGUGGGUUAAGAAUCUGACUGCAGCAGCUCGGGUCACUGUGGAAGUAUGGGUUCGAUUCCCCAGCCCGGCAGCGGAUUGAAGGAUCUGACGUUGCUGCAGCUGCGCCAUAGGUCACAGCUGUGGCUCAGAUUCAAUCCCUGGCUCGGGAGCUUACAUAUGCCAUGGGUGCAGCCUUAAAAGGGGGGGGGCACUCUGCACACACGUGACCAAGACAGCCAACAACUUAAUCUUCCUUCUCUUCAGGAAAGCAAAGCUUGGCAGCCUUGGGAAACCCAUAGCCUUCAGGUGGCCCGUUUCCCUCCAAGCCAUGUGCCCAGCCUUUUCACCAGUUCCUUGAGCCGAUGGUGUCUGGCUGUGGCUAGACCACAAUUCUGAGGCAGUCAGCAAGCAGGGGCUGUGCCAGGCUGACUUCACUGGGAUGGUAUCAGAGCUGGGGUUGGGGCGCCAGUCUCAACAAGCUGAUGUCAAAGCCAGCCUCUUUCUUCAAUCUGCUUGGUCUGUUGGCUGGGAUCACUGGCCAACAUUAAGCUAGAAACUAAAGACCAGAGUAGUAGUUAUGGCUCCUAGAGACAGGCUUCUUAGUACCCACUGCUCCAAGUAAGCAUGUUGUGUCCUGUCAUGGACAAUGAGACAAGAUUUUAGGGUCAGAGAGAUCCAGCUCCAAAUCCCACUUCUUUACUAGUUGUAUGGCACUAACCAUCUCAACCUUUCAUCCAUGAAACAGGAAAGAGGAGCCAGGAUGAAGGGCAGAAUGUGCAGGCAGAAGCCCAGGACUCCGUGUAACAUAUACGUUGUGUUCAACCACUGACACCCACUGCAAGUGUGGAUGUUUAGUCAAAGUUGCACAUUGAGGAUAAUGACAAUAAUGAGAAUCCAUGAAGGAGAGAGUUUUGCAAGAUGGAAUGUUGGAAUGUUGGGCAAGCCCCUAAAAUAAAGUUACAGUGUAAGUAGCUACAUGCAUUGCUCAUGGCUGUUUCAUCGAUGUGCGCUUUCCUUGCCUGAGACAAAUUUGGCCCCUAGGUUACUUAUGUGAAGCUCAAGGCCAUACUUCUUCCAUUCGUGAUGGUGAUCCGGAUCCAUAACCCCCAGCAAAGGAACAUUCCAAACUGGGACAAGAAAUAGGCACUCAUAAGCAAUACCAUUGGCCCUGAUUUCAGUGUUACUGAGAAAAACCAGUUGCAAAUAUUGUUCACCUUGGAUGUGUAGAGGGUACUGUACUGGCUGUAAAUGACUCAGAAGCCCUAAUAUUCUCUGUAUCAAGAUGGUGGAGACAGGCAUUUCAAAGAAGAUUAUGCUUUGCUCAUGCCACCCUCGCUCUAUCUGUUAAGCCUCGGUAUUUCUCUCCCCCCACUUUUCUCAUUGCCCCUCUCUGCUCCUACUGGUAUUUUUUCCUCCUCCAUCUGCUCUCUCACACAUAGAUGGCUCACAUUUAAUUAUUCGUGGCACAGCAUUCAACAGGCCAUCUAAAAGUGUAAUACGCAACCAAGUCAUGAUAUUAAGGAUUUUGUUAUUUCAGAAUUGAAGAAAUCUGCACAUGAGAAGAGUCCAAAAACUAUGCAACUGCUUUUCUUUCAGGGGCUAUGUUGACAUAUUCAGCAAAUAAUUUCCAAAACACUAUGUGAUGUUUGAAGUUGUUUUUCUCUCAAAGACAAUGUGUGUGGCUGGAAAAGCACAUUUGCGCUGUAUGUUUUCUUAGAUUGGUUUGCCAGGUGACCAGAAAUAAAAAGCAUGUCCUUAAAAUUCCCUCCCCCAAGGCCAACUCCUCCAAUUGAGGAGGUUCAGGGCGUUCUAGCUUUACAUUUUUUGUUCUAACGCCCUGUGUGGCCUUGCUCAGUUUAGAUUUGAACCCAGUUCAAAAAAGCACAAGUCCAGGAAAAGAUUGUGCAAGAGUUUUGUGUUUACACGGUGCUGUACAUUCUCAACAAUACUGGCCAUAUAAUCCAUAAACAUCAAUCUAAAUUUUAUGAGAUUGCUAAUCAGCUUCUCAGCAAGUAUUGCAAAUUUAAAGGCAAAAACAGAGACAAUGCUAAAUAAAGCAGUGGGUUCCAAGAAGUUUCUGGAAGACAAUGAGCACGAGUGCAUUGAUUAAAUCAAUGAAACAGACAUGGUGGGGUGCCUGCUCUGGGCAUUGUCCUGUUGCCAAGUGCUCAGAGGAGCACAAAAGUGAGCGAGAGUCUAGACCUCCACACAGCAAAAUCUGUUGUGGGGCUGAGGGCUUUGUUUUUCAGAAGCUUUAUCAUAUCUGACUUCAAAUUAGUAAGAAAAUCAUUAUGCAGUCUCUAGCCAAGGAUGUAAAGACUGAUCUUGGGGUUAAUACAAUGUGUGAACUGCUUAAUUCUGUUCCAAAUUUUCUUACUAUGUUUUAAGGAUGGCGGUGUUCCCGUAGUGGCUCAGUGGAAAUGAAUCCAACUAGCAUCCAUGAGGACAUAGGUUCAAUCCCUGGUCUUGCUUGGUGGGUUAAGGAUCCGGUGCUGCCAUGGGCUGUGGUGUAGAUCGCAGAUGUGGCUCAGAUCCUGCAUUGCUGUGGCUGUGGCGGAGCCCAGCAGCUGCAGCUCCGAUUCAACUCUUAGCCUGGGAAACUCCAUAUGCGUCGGGUACGGCCCUAAAAAAAGUUUUAAGGAUGGAGAGAGAAGAGUAUUUUUUGUGAAAUGAUUCCUCUAAUUAUCCCUAUAUUUAUCAGCAGAAAUUUUAUCACAGUAAUCAUGAAAGCUAACACUUACUGAGGAAGACCAACUUACUCUGUGGCUGGCCCUGACCUACUUUUAAGCAUUUCGCAUGCAGUCACUUCUUUGGUUGUCAAAAUCACCUUCGAGUUCUGGUUCUAAUUAUCUAUUGCUAUGGAACUAACUAGUUUACCCUUAGUGGCAUAAAAGAAUAACUAUCUUCUCAUAGUCAUAGAUUCUGCGAAUCAGGAAACCAGCCAGGAGGACUAGUUUCGACUCCAUAUCUGAGACCUGGGCUGGGAAGACUUCGUCAGCUGGAGGUAGCUGACCAAAUUCCCAGGGGCUGGAAGCAUCCGGAUGCCACUUCCCACACAUCUGACACCUGGCCUGAGAUGACUGGAAGGCUGGACUCAGGGGGAUCUGCAAAGCAAGACAUCAACUCAUAUGACUUCUCCAUGGAGCUUGGGUGUCCUCACAACAUCACAGCUUCAAAGUCCUUGAACAUCUUACUUGGCACCUCCAGCUUCCAAGAGCUACACUGACCAUGACUCUCGGACCUCCACGUGGAAAUGUUGAGCAAGCAAACACGCAAGCCUAGAGCUGGAGGCGUAGCCUGUCUCAAAACCCUGCAGUCCUUGGUGAGGUUUAUUCCAAAGUAUUUUAUUUUAUAUUUUUGGAUGCGAUUUUAAAAGGGAUGGUUCACAUUCCCUUUCAGAAAAACGUAUAUGCAGAGAACUACAAAACAUUAAUAAAGGAAAUUAAAGAUGAUUCAAAGAAAUGGAAAUAUAUCCCAUACUCUUGGAUUGGAAUAAUUUAUAUGUGUGUGUAUACACACACACAUAUUGGCUGUGUCCAUGUCGUGUGGAAGUUGCCCAGCCCAAGGAUCAUACCCGUACCACAGCAGCAACCUGAGCCCCUGCAGUGACACCACCAGAUCCUUAAUCCACUGCACCCCAAGGGAACCCCAAAGAAGAAUUAAUAUUGUUAAUAUGGGAGUUCCCAUUG